rnacentral:rRNA from 1 species
UACGUAGGGUGCGAGCGUUGUCCGGAAUUACUGGGCGUAAAGCGUGCGUAGACGGCUAUCUAAGUCGGGUGUGAAAGCCCCGGGCUCAACCUGGGAAUUGCAUUCGAGACUGAAUAGCUAGGGUACGGUAGAGGGAAGUGGAAUUUCCGGUGUAGCGGUGAAAUGCGUAGAUAUCGGAAGGAACAUCAGUGGCGAAAGCGACUUCCUGGACCAGUACCGACGUCAGGCACGAAAGCGUGGGGAGCAAACAGG